UCGCAUUCGGUCGUCCCCUUUCAAGUCUCACUUUGUGUCCUUUUCAGCUCUUCGUUUAUUCACUCAACACCGAAUCAGUGUUUUGUUUGUAUAGAGGAGACGGUAACUUGGCUGGUGCAUCGUCUGUUUUCAGUCGAGGGUGAGGUUUAGUUUGUUACGUGGGAGCAUCUUUAUCUGUUCAUUUGUCAUGUUUUAAUUGGAUUAAAUUUUAGGUUGUCCAAAUUAUAAGCUAUGUUGUAUUCUC